UGUUCACUUCAUCCAGUGUCAGGUGAAAUGGCUCUGCUUGUCCUCCUGCUCUUCUUCCAUCAGAUUCUGGACAUUAACUCUCAAUUGGAUUUCUCUGUCCGUACUCCUUCUUCUCACUCUCUUCCACCUCCAGUCACAGUGAUGACUUCCUCGGAUUCUUCAACUCUGAUCACCACAAGACCAUUAAUGACUA